UACGUAGGUGGCAAGCGUUGUCCGGAUUUACUGGGCGUAAAGAGCGCGCAGGCGGUCGUUCAAGUCGCGUGUGAAAGCCCCCGGCUCAACUGGGGAGGGUCACGCGAUACUGAUCGACUCGAAGGCAGGAGAGGGAAGUGGAAUUCCCGGUGUAGUGGUGAAAUGCGUAGAUAUCGGGAGGAACACCAGUGGCGAAAGCGGCUCCUGGUCCAGCACCGACGUCAGGCACGAAAGCGUGGGGAGCAAACAGG
rnacentral:rRNA from 1 species